AAGUCCCACAGGAGACCGCAGGGUCCAGGGCAAAACGUCCAGCUACGGGCAGCUCUAGAACAAGAGGAUCUGCUCAGCCCCACCCGGGGCCGCCCCCUUCUCCAAGUGACUGUUCACAAGCAAAUGAAAAUGCAAACCCAACUGAAUGAUGGGGCACUUGGCCAAUCAGCAAGCUAGACACACGAUUUCCCCGCCUCCCCCGGCGGAACUUCCCGCCAGCCGCAGUGACUGGGAUGAGCACCCCCGCCCCGGCGCUCAAUCCCCGCGAGACGGCCCAGUUACCUCGUGCGACACACAUUCCAGCGACCGAAGCUCACUGCAGUAGCGGCAGAAAUAGAGUUGAGAGAGCGGGGCCCGAACCUUCUUUUCUCCUUGGACGAGAUAGAGAACCCGCUCCGACUGCAGCAGGGACGCCAUCUUGGCGAGGGAGGAGCCAACGCCCGACGCACCCGUCACGUGACACAGCGCGACGUUUCCCUCCCCCGAGUCUCCUACGUCUUUUACGUAGACGUUGACGUAAGCUAAGCCGACCCAGCGGGACUUUGCCAUCUAAGUGCGCGUGCGCUGCUCGGGUUUGGGUCACACCCUCCUAUGGCUUCCGGGAGCCUUGUGGCCGUCCUGGGAUGCUCCGCCCUAGUUCAAGUCCAGACAGGCUCAGUGCUCUUCUUUGUAUCAUACAGAAAAGCUUGCACACAUUACCCCAUAUGCAAUGCCUUCAGCACAUCUUCUAAGAAGAAAUCAUCUGUAUCGUCACUGGGAAGAGCAGACAAACUCCACGUGCAUGGACUCAGCUGUCUCCAAGUUAGCAGCCAACUUUAUGGGGUUAUAAAUCUCUGGGCUCUUACAG